GAUGAAGAACGUAGCGAAAUGCGACAAGUAAUGUGAAUUGCAGAAUUCAGUGAAUCAUCGAAUCUUUGAACGCACAUUGCGCCCCUUGGUAUUCCGGGGGGCAUGCCUGUUCGAGCGUCAUUUCAACCCCUCAAGCUCGGCUUGGUGUUGGGCUGCGCCAGCGUUGCUGGCGGGCCUUAAAAUCAGUGGCGGUGCCGUUUGGGCUCCAAGCGUAGUAGCAUCUCUCGCUCUGGAGACCCGGCGGUUGCUUGCCAGACAAUCACCAAAAAAACAAAGGUUUGACCUCGGAUCAGGUAGGGAUACCCGCUGAACUUAAGCAUAUCAAUAAGCGGAGGA
rnacentral:misc_RNA from 1 species